rnacentral:tRNA from 1 species
GGGUCUGUAGCCUUAAGGUAACGCUUCCGCUUCAUAAGCGGAAGGUCAUGAGUUCGAUUCCCAGCCCCU